rnacentral:rRNA from 1 species
UAAACUACGAUUAGAUACCCUAUUAUACCAGUAGUUGAUGUUGAUCCCAGAGUAGUAAUAGGUAUGUUCUUGAAACUCAAAGAAUUUGGCGGUGUUUUAGUCCAUUCAGAGGAACCUGUCCCAUAAUCGAUAGUCCACGAAUACUUUACUUGGUUUGGUUGUCAGCUUGUAUACCGCCGUCAGAAGAAUGUUUCUUGAGAAAAUAUUCAGGGCUUUUCAUUAAAAAGUAUGUCAGGUCAAGGUGCAGUUUAUAGCCAAGAGGAGGUGGGUUACAAUACAGAAUAAUUAUACGGAUUUGAAUUUGUAAGGUUUGAUGAAGGUGGAUUUGAGUGUAAUGAAGUUUAUUAAGAGUUUGUGAAAGUGGCUCUAAAACAUGCACACAUCGCCCGUCGCUCUUAAAAA